ACCUUCCGGUUACUAGUCCAACACUAACCACUAGGCUACCCUGCCGCCCCAUAAAUUGGAAAGGAUGGGAAAUAACUCACACCAUGCAGCAGGACACCUUCAGCUGUGGGGUCUUUGUAAUGCAGAUGGCCAAGGAAGUUGCACAGAACUUCCCCAACAUCCCCUCCCAAAUUCAUAUGGAACCUUCAAAAACAUAUGGAGCAACUGCAAAAAGAAAUGGCUGAGGAUAUUCAAAAACUUUCUGAGUUCAACAAAGCCAACAACUGCUUCAUGUGUGCCACUGAUAAAGAACCUGGAUAUGGCCCAAAGACUGACUGGGUUAAUCUUUUGACAACAGUGACGGCAUGAUCCACGUGCUGUAACUAGGAAUGAAGACAAAAGAGUUCAACAGAGUAAAGAACACAAACUGGAAGUGUAGUCUUUGUUGUUGAAAAUGUAUUCUAUACCCCAUCCAUACUGAAGAGGCUCUGACAUGUACAUCAACCAGGGAUAAAGAGAAAGUUAACACAGUGAAAUGUUUCAUACUUAUUUGAAGUUAAGUGUCUGUUGACAUGUUGGAAAGAUUAAAGGUCUACAAUUUCUGUUUAA